GACGAACGCUGGCGGCGUGCUUAACACAUGCGAGUCGAACGAUGACGACCGAGCUUGCUCGGUCUGAUUAGUGGCGAACGGGUGAGUAACACGUGAGCAACCUGCCCUUCACUCUGGGAUAACCUCGGGAAAUCGGGGCUAAUACCGGAUAUGAGCUCCUGUCGCAUGGCGGGUGUUGGAAAGUUUUUCGGUGAAGGAUGGGCUCGCGGCCUAUCAGUUUGUUGGUGAGGUGGUGGCUCACCAAGGCGAUGACGGGUAGCCGGCCUGAGAGGGCGACCGGCCACACUGGGACUGAGACACGGCCCAGACUCCUACGGGAGGCAGCAGUGGGGAAUAUUGCACAAUGGGCGAAAGCCUGAUGCAGCGACGCCGCGUGAGGGAUGACGGCCUUCGGGUUGUAAACCUCUUUCAGCAGGGAAGAAGCGAAAGUGACGGUACCUGCAGAAGAAGCGCCGGCUAACUACGUG
rnacentral:rRNA from 1 species